rnacentral:rRNA from 1 species
AUUGAACGCUGGCGGCAGGCCUAACACAUGCAAGUCGAGCGAGCGGCGGACGGGUGAGUAAUGUAUGGGGAUCUGCCCGAUAGAGGGGGAUAACUACUGGAAACUGUAGCUAAUACCGCGUACCAUAGGAUGAGCCCAAGUGGGAUUAGGUAGUUGGUGAGGUAAAGGCUCACCAAGCCGACGAUCUCUAGCUGGUCUGAGAGGAUGACCAGCCACACUGGGACUGAGACACGGCCCAGACUCCUACGGGAGGCAGCAGUGGGGAAUAUUGCGCAAUGGGGGCAACCCUGACGCAGCCAUGCCGCGUGUAUGAAGAAGGCCUUAGGGUUGUAAAGUACUUUCAGCGGGGAGGCGUUACCCGCAGAAGAAGCACCGGCUAACUCCGUGCCAGCAGCCGCGGUAAUUC